UACGUAGGGUGCAAGCGUUGUCCGGAAUUAUUGGGCGUAAAGAGCUCGUAGGCGGUUUGUCGCGUCUGCUGUGAAAACUCGGGGCUUAACUCCGGGCCUGCAGUGGGUACGGGCAGACUAGAGUGUGGUAGGGGAGACUGGAAUUCCUGGUGUAGCGGUGAAAUGCGCAGAUAUCAGGAGGAACACCGAUGGCGAAGGCAGGUCUCUGGGCCAUAACUGACGCUGAGAAGCGAAAGCUAGGGGAGCAAACAGG
rnacentral:rRNA from 1 species